rnacentral:rRNA from 1 species
AGCGAACGCUGGCGGCGUGCCUAACACAUGCAAGUCGAACGUGAAAAGGGAAACCUGAGUAACGUGGCGUACGGGUGAGUAACGCGUAGGUAAUCUACCCCAGAAUCUGGAAUAACCUGCCGAAAGGCGGGCUAAUACUGGAUAGAGCGAGGGAACUCGUAAGAGAGUUUUUCGGGAAAGGGAGCCCGCAAGGGCCUUCGUUCUGGGAUGAGCCUGCGUCUCAUUAGCUAGUUGGUAAGGUAACGGCUUACCAAGGCGAUGAUGAGUAGCUGGUCUGAGAGGAUGAGCAGCCACACUGGAACUGAAACACGGUCCAGACUCCUACGGGAGGCAGCAGUGGGGAAUCUUGCGCAAUGGACGAAAGUCUGACGCAGCCACGCCGCGUGAGUGAAGAAGGCCGUCGGGUUGUAAAGCUCUGUCGGAUGGGACGAACAUCUUCAUAGUGAAUAGCUAUGAGGACUGACGGUACCAUCAAAGGAAGCACCGGCUAACUCCGUG